GGGCACUCUAGAGAGACUGCCAGGGAUAACCUGGAGGAAGGUGGGGAUGACGUCAAAUCAUCAUGCCCCUUAUGCUUAGGGCUACACACGUGCUACAAUGGGUAGUACAGAGGGUUGCCAAGCCGUAAGGUGGAGCUAAUCCCUUAAAGCUACUCUCAGUUCGGAUUGUAGGCUGAAACUCGCCUACAUGAAGCUGGAGUUACUAGUAAUCGCAGAUCAGAAUGCUGCGGUGAAUGCGUUCCCGGGUCUUGUACACACCGCCCGUCACACCACGGGAGUUGGAGACGCCCGAAGCCGAUUAUCUAACCUUUUGGAAGAAGUCGUCGAAGGUGGAAUCAAUAACUGGGGUGAAGUCGUAACAAGGUAGCCGUAUCGGAAGGUGCGGCUGGAUC
rnacentral:rRNA from 1 species